CUCGCCGAACCCGCUCGCCGCCCCCGCAUCGCUGUCGCGCUGAGAAGAUAAGGCAGAGUCCCCUCGGCUUCGUCAUCUCCCCUUCCCCCACCAGAUAUUUUCCCCACUCCUAUGCCCCUCCCUCUCUUCCCCCAGAUCCACCGCAACUGUGGCCGUGAACGCCGGCGCCCACGCGCCUCACCAUGCUCUACGAGCAUGUCCGCUAGGUGCGGCGCCGUCCUCUGCUUCGACUCCGACCGCUGGAACCAUUCAGGAGCGACCGCGUCCUCGGGAACGACCUCGACCACGCCUUCCUCGCCGGAGCUGCGCCGAGCCGCUCUGUCACCCUCCUGCGCUACUAAACUCUCACAGGCCUUCUUGAGCCGCCCGACUACGAGACCGACGCUGCUGCCGCCCCGUUCGACUACGGAGUUGACGACCCCUCCUUCUUGCCAGAGCAACCAGAUGACGGAUCCCAGGAGCCAGACGACGCCACCGAUGACUACUACUACCCGGAGGAUGCCUACUACUGCUUGAAGACCAAUGACGAUUUGGAGUAGUUAGGAGGCUCCCAGGCAGGAGGCCUUGCCUUUUCGAUCGUUGUUGCUUUUGUGCUAGCCUUCUUAAGACAAACUUGUUUAACUUAUGUCUGUACUCAGAUAUUGUUGCUUCCGCUGACUCAUCUUUGAUCGAGCUCUUGUAUUCGAGCCUUCGAGGCCCCUGGCUUGUAAU
rnacentral:rRNA from 1 species